UACGGAGGAUGCGAGCGUUAUCCGGAUUUAUUGGGUUUAAAGGGUGCGUAGGCGGAUCGUUAAGUCAGUGGUCAAAUUGAGGGGCUCAACCCCUUCCCGCCAUUGAAACUGGCGCUCUUGAGUGGAAGAGAAGUAUGCGGAAUGCGUGGUGUAGCGGUGAAAUGCAUAGAUAUUACGCAGAACCCCGAUUGCGAAGGCAGCAUGCCGGCUUCCGACUGACGCUGAAGCACGAAAGCGUGGGGAUCGAACAGG
rnacentral:rRNA from 1 species